UUUGAUCCUGGCUCAGAUUGAACGCUGGCGGCAGGCCUAACACAUGCAAGUCGAGCGGAAACGAUCCUAGCUUGCUAGGAGGCGUCGAGCGGCGGACGGGUGAGUAAUGCAUAGGAAUCUGCCCGGUAGUGGGGGAUAACUUGAGGAAACUCAAGCUAAUACCGCAUACGCCCCAAGGGGGAAAGCAGGGGAUCUUCGGACCUUGCGCUAUCGGAUGAGCCUAUGUCGGAUUAGCUAGUUGGUGAGGUAAUGGCUCACCAAGGCCGCGAUCCGUAGCUGGUCUGAGAGGAUGAUCAGCCACAUCGGGACUGAGACACGGCCCGAACUCCUACGGGAGGCAGCAGUGGGGAAUAUUGGACAAUGGGCGAAAGCCUGAUCCAGCCAUGCCGCGUGUGUGAAGAAGGCCUUCGGGUUGUAAAGCACUUUCAGCGAGGAAGAACGCUUGUGGGUUAAUACCCCGCAAGAAGGAC
rnacentral:rRNA from 1 species